rnacentral:lncRNA from 1 species
UUGUUCAUUCCCUAUUCCCAUUUCUCUGUCUUUUUUUUUCUUCUUCUCUAGUCUUUCCUUGUAUGAAGAUGGGAAGCCACCAUCUUCCAAGCAACUUGCCAGCAAGUCCCAUUCUCAAAGGCUUGAGUUGACUGGUGUCAGUAGGGAAGCUUGACAGCCACCUAUGAGGAAAGUGGACUUUGUGACACAUGAAAGAGACCCCUGGGCCUUGAAGCUACUAUGUGGCAGGGAAAUACUUCAUGUCUGCCAAAAGCCUUGGAAGUGCCUCUCAUGGCUGCUCUGUUGUUCUGCAUAAAGCAAGACGUGUAUUUGCAUGUCCUCCUGCUCUGGCUCCAGCAGAAACCACCUGAAGGAUUUUCUGAAUGGUCAGAUCCUCCUCCUAUAGCGCUAAUCAACACAGCAAUGCACAGAUUUUGCCUUUGGAGAGAUGUUCAAAUCAGGAGAUCCUAUGGAAAAUCUUCAGGACUGUUUGAAAUUCCCAUCUGUGGAGCUCUUGUGUCGAGCAGUCAAGUGCUUGCUUGUGCUGCUGUCCAGAAGUUCAGACAAUGACCUAUUUGACUGCCAGUCGACACCGCGUUAGUCGGCUGUCUCUCCGUUCCAGAGAGACUGGGGAGCUCCCGACCCAGCCUGGCCUGACUCUUUCAGGAGCCAGGGAGCUGAGGGAUGAUGCUGCCUGACUGGUGGUGCUGGGACUGACCAGCUCU